rnacentral:rRNA from 1 species
AGUGAACGUUGGCGGCGUGGAUUAGGCAUGCAAGUCGAGCGCGAUAUGUAGCAAUACAUGGAGAGCGGCGAAAGGGAGAGUAAUACGUAGGUAUCUACCCUCGGGUCUGGGAUAGCAGCGGGAAACUGCUGGUAAUACCAGAUAACGUCUCCGGACCAAAGGUGUGAUUCCACCUGAGGAGGAGCCUACGGCCUAUUAGCUAGUUGGUAGGGUAACGGCCUACCAAGGCAAAGAUGGGUAUGGGGUGUGAGAGCAUGCCCCCACUCACUGGGACUGAGACACUGCCCAGACACCUACGGGUGGCUGCAGUCGAGAAUCUUCGGCAAUGGGCGAAAGCCUGACCGAGCGACGCCGCGUGCGGGAUGAAGGCCUUCGGGUUGUAAACCGCUGUCGUAGUGGAGGAAAUGUAGGAGAGUUAUCUCUUCUACUUGACUAAUACUAGGAGGAAGGACCGGCUAAUCUCGUGCCAGCCGCCGCCGUAA